CCCAACCAAAAACUCAUCAGGCAAGUGUACCGUUUCAUUAGAGAUAGCCUGAAACCGAGCUCCAAAAUCCGACACAGUGGACAUCUAUACAAGCUUCGAAAGCCUGCCCUCUGGAGAAUGUAAAGACUGAUCCUGAAAUCGGAGACGAAGCUUCUCAGCAAACUGCAGCCAAUCAAAGAGCUGCUUUUGAUGAACCGACAAGAUAGAAUAAAACUCAAAAUAGCGCUCGGCCUGAAACAACCACGCCUCAGGAUUUUGACCAUUAAAACGAUUAAGUUCCACCACCGCUGGUUUGUGUUGGAUUGUCAUCGGAGCAGAAGAGUUAGAUCUCGGAGAUAAACAAACAUCGGCCGGCCGCGGGCGAAUAGGGUCAAUAGCAGCGGACUGAACAGC